AAAUUGAAGAGUUUGAUCAUGGCUCAGAUUGAACGCUGGCGGCAGGCCUAACACAUGCAAGUCGAACGGUAACAGGAAGCAGCUUGCUGCUUUGCUGACGAGUGGCGGACGGGUGAGUAAUGUCUGGGAAACUGCCUGAUGGAGGGGGAUAACUACUGGAAACGGUGGCUAAUACCGCAUAAUGUCGCAAGACCAAAGAGGGGGACCUUCGG
rnacentral:rRNA from 1 species